UACGUAGGGUGCAAGCGUUAAUCGGAAUUACUGGGCGUAAAGCGUGCGCAGGCGGUUAUGUAAGACAGAUGUGAAAUGCCCGGGCUUAACCUGGGAACUGCAUUUGUGACUGCAUGGCUAGAGUGUGUCAGAGGGGGGUAGAAUUCCACGUGUAGCAGUGAAAUGCGUAGAUAUGUGGAGGAAUACCGAUGGCGAAGGCCAGGCCCCCUGGGAUAACACUGACGCU
rnacentral:rRNA from 1 species